AUUGAACGCUGGCGGCAGGCCUAACACAUGCAAGUCGAGCGGAUGAAGGGAGCUUGCUCCUGGAUUCAGCGGCGGACGGGUGAGUGAUGCCUAGGAAUCUGCCUGGUAGUGAGGGAUAACGUCCGGAAACGGGCGCUAAUACCGCAUACGUCCUGAGGGAGAAAGUGGGGGAUCUUCGGACCUCACGCUAUCAGAUGAGCCUAGGUCGGAUUAGCUAGUUGGUGGGGUAAAGGCCUACCAAGGCGACGAUCCGUAACUGGUCUGAGAGGAUGAUCAGUCACACUGGAACUGAGACACGGUCCAGACUCCUACGGGAGGCAGCAGUGGGGAAUAUUGGACAAUGGGCGAAAGCCUGAUCCAGCCAUGCCGCGUGUGUGAAGAAGGUCUUCGGAUUGUAAAGCACUUUAAGUUGGGAGGAAGGGCAGUAAGUUAAUACCUUGCUGUCUUGACGUUACCAACAGAAUAAGCACCGGCUAACUUCGUG
rnacentral:rRNA from 1 species